rnacentral:rRNA from 1 species
AUUGAACGCUGGCGGCAGGCCUAACACAUGCAAGUCGAGCGGAUGAAGGGAGCUUGCUCCUGGAUUCAGCGGCGGACGGGUGAGUAAUGCCUAGGAAUCUGCCUGGUAGUGGGGGAUAACGUCCGGAAACGGGCGCUAAUACCGCAUACGUCCUGAGGGAGAAAGUGGGGGAUCUUCGGACCUCACGCUAUCAUAUGAGCCUAGUUCGGAUUAGCUAGUUGGUGGGGUAAAGGCCUACCAAGGCGACGAUCCGUAACUGGUCUGAGAGGAUGAUCAGUCACACUGGAACUGAGACACGGUCCAGACUACUACGGGAGGCAGCAGUGGGGAAUAUUGGACAAUGGGCGAAAGCAUGAUCCAGACAUGCCGCGUGUGUGAAGAAGGUCUUCGGAUUGUAAAGCACUUUAAGUUGGGAGGAAGGGCAGUAAGUUAAUACCUUGCUGUUUUGACGUUACCAACAGAAUAAGCACCGGCUAACUUCGUG